CCCGGCUUUCAUGUGGAUCAAGGCUGGAGGAUGACAAGCUCCUGACUGAUAGAUACAUGGAGACUUCGCUGGUGAUUUAUUGGCUUUCUGCACCUGACGAGAACCACUAGGCCUAUCUGAGGAGGGAAAUAUAUGGGCUUUCCUGACUCCAAGUGGCAGCCCCGGGGCGAGCAUGUGAUGUCAAGCUGGGCAGAGGAAAGCGGAGCUGUGCACCGGCCUGUGUACUGUAAGCCGGCCCGGGUCGUAAAAGUGUCAGCACGCGAUAUAUUUCUUGCAGGGGAUCCUCUCUGGCUCUUGCCAGCGCCUCUCCCCCGUGGCUGGCAGCCGCCCUAGCCGGGCCUGCAAACAGCGGAUGCCCCAGGUCGCUAUCCCUCCGCCCUGCCCCGGAGCGCCGGGCCCUCACGUUCUCGCUCCAGCCUGGGGUCUCUCACGUGGCAUCUGGCCCUGGGGACGGUGCAGCGGAGGAGUUAAUUGCUGUCACUCCUGACUUCAGCGAAAGAGGCUUCUUCCUCGGGGUUAGCAGGGGCCUGGAGUGGAUGUUUAGUCUACCGGUCAGACUCCAGGUCUUAUAUCUUGAAACUGUAAGUCCCUGAAUUCACAGACAAUUCAGAGUAAGGAUGGAGGCAAAGAAGAGGACCUUGGGUUUACUGUUCACGAGAUGACCUCAUAAAGGUGUUCAGUGAUGAAGAGGAGUGGCUGAAGAGGUAAGGAGAACACUCAAAGCAACAACAGCAAAACGUACAGUAUGAAGGGGGUAGUCAUAAGGUCAGUCCAUAACCCUGCCAGCAUCAUCCAGAUAGAAGUGGAUCUGCUAUCCCUCCCCACACCUGACUUCACUACCUGCACACCCACAAGCAGGGCAGCACUAGCCCCCAGUGCUCUUCUGUGCAUAUUAGAGUCUUCCCUGGAGGGCUCAGUACCUUGCUGGGACUCAUGGCAUGGGGAGCAGAACCCAGGCUGAAUUUCAGUCCCUACAAGGUUUUAAGUACAGGGAUCAGCCUGCACAACCGAAUGGGAGGCCCGGCCCUCAUCUGCCCUUCUGUAACUUGUCUUUCCCUGCCAGGCCUCCCUCGGAGCUCAUUGUUGAAAUCUGGCAUCCAGAGCUAUGGAUUCCCCGCUCUGCCAUUUACAAACUGUAUGAUUAGGGCUCAUCAGUUCAUCUCUCUGAGUUACUUUCUUUUCUGAAAUGGAGGUAGGGCUACUUCUCUCACAUGGCUUUAUGAGGGUGAAGUGGUUUCCAAUGAGCACUCAUCUGGAUAUUCUAGGCCCAUCCACUCACAUAGCUAAUGACACUCCUUCUUUACAAGAUGAAGGAUUAGGAGAUGAUUUUAAAUCUUUUAGCUGGAAGGGCCUUUAAGAGAUACCUGUGUCUGUCUUGGGCCUUAGAGUGAGUAAAGGGACAGCAGGUGGUCAGGCCCUGCCAACAGCAGGAUAUUUUCUGCAGGUGCCCAACAGCAGCCCUGGAGUUGCCUCAGAUCCUCCCACUGGAGGCUUCAUUGCUGUAUCUGCCAUUCCAUCCCUGGCAGGGAUAGGCCAAGGUCUUAGAUACCCUGGCACCCAACACUCCAUACAGGCUUGUCUCUGAGCAGACUCUCGGUGAAGGCUAUUGUGCUAGUCUGAGCAGAACGGGAGGUGCAGGGAUUGCAGCUGUUCCUUCACUGCAGUGUCAGUUUGGAAAUUUUCCCAGAAGACUUAGCUGGUGCCUCUUCUUUGAUAUUCAUGAGUGUGUGAACACAACGACCCUCCUCAUCUUUGUCGAACCCAUUCCUCUUGGACCACACCAAGUAUAGUCCAAAAAGAAGGUGAUUUAGGAGAAGUGUGAAGGCACCCUCAGUUCUGGCAAAUUCUUGGGUAUCCUGCAAUUCUCACUCAGCAGCAUCCCAACAAAACCAGAGAAAAGACCCGGGGCCGGGAGAUGAGCCAGGAAAAUAGCUUCAUGUUUGACUUGAGGGUACAGGCAUCUGCAGAAGCCAGCCUGGAAGACUCUUCAUGAGCCCAGCUGCAAGGGGCAUCCUAGAGCCAGUUCAUGAGCCCAACUUUACAGAGGCAUCAAGCUUCCCCUCCCCUAGAAAGGAAGGCUAUAGAGCAAGCAGAAUGUUUAAGACACAGGCUUUCAAGUGAGGCUGACUUGGAUUAGCGGAACUAAGGAUGACGUGGCCCUGUGCAAGGAACUUAAUAUCUCUGGGCUUCAUUCUUUAUCUGUUUACCUACCCCCAGGUCCUGAAAGUACCACAGAAAUAUCUGUUUUUAUUCAGAGGAUAAUAAAACAGAAUAUUUACAUAUUGCUUCAUAUUCCCCCAGGAUAUUUUUAGAUUACCACAAUAUCCUAAGAGUUUGUUUAUGCAUGCUUUAUAGACCUGUAUCUGUGGUUAAAAAAGAUACAUAAAUACUUUAAAAUUUUAUAAUACAAGAGUAUAAGUUACCUGAUUUUUUAUGUGUUCCGCAGAUGGCUGUCUAGAGUCAACACAAACCUACCCCAAAGUUUGACCUUUGCCUUAAGUCAGUAACUGAGGAGGGCCACGGUCCUGAGUUCAGUCCAGACCCCAGGAAGAUUCAGAGCCUGCAGUUGUCCUCUGGUUUCUAAAGUAUGUUAUUGGGCUAAAGAUUUCAAGACAUUUAUCCUUCUUUGCUUUCUAUCGCAGCCAUUAAAUGUUUUAGAUAUUUUCUGCCAGAAGGCAGGAAUCAUGAAGAUAACAAAUAUUAAAGACAAAACCAAAUAACUUUUAAUGAGAAGGUCAGUCCGUGGUUUGAGUCUUUGGAAAGAAAUCAAGAACUCUGACUAUACUUGCUAUUUGACCAUUGAUUCUCUAGUGGAAAUGGGCAAAUCUUUUAUACCAGGGCAAAUUUUUCAGUAACGGGCCAGACAGCAAAUAUUUUAGGAAUUGUGGGCCAUACAGUCUCUCUCCCAACUACUUAACUCUUCAGCAUAGCAUAAAAGCAGCCAUAAACAAUACUACAACAAGUAUGGCUGCAUUCCAAUAAAACUUUAUUUACAAAAAUAGGCAGCACGCCAGAUUUGGCCCACAAGCUAUAGCUUUCUGACCCCUGCUUUGCCAAACUCAAUAACAAACAGAGAGGGAGACUCUUUUAAAAAAAUUAUAUUCAUUUGGGAGUAGCAUUGCAAUGGGAAUACGUGUGCCAUAGCAAAUUAUGAGCGUAUUCAAAGAGAUUGGGGCAAGGGGAAGUUUAUAAAGGCAAAACGAAGAGGAUUACAAUUGUUCAAAUCAAUUAUCCUUGGCUACAAGGGUGGCACAAGUCCAAGCUUGAACAGGCAGUUGCUAGACAGACAUCCUUACAGAAGUAUUUUCUGUGUAAGGUUGCAGUGGUCUUUUUGCAAAGCUAUAGUAAAUCACAGGGGUCAGUACAACCGUAGUGCAAUGGAUAAGCCUUGCCCUCGGAAAAUCUUCGUGAUCAUGGUAUCUCCCCUGCCAAAUAAAUAUUGUGACAGUUCUUAUCAGGCAUUCAUGUGUAAGAACUCUCCCUUGAUGGCCUUCCCUGGCUCCAUUUGCCAGGGUUUUAACAUAAAUUACUCCAUUUUGAUUCGGACAACUUUCAUAACUGCUUACCAUCUGUGCCUCUGUGUAUAAAAGUGGACAUACUAAAAUUUUUCCUUAGGGCUACAACUAAACAUCCAGCCUAGCCCUUAGCCAGCACCAAGGAAGAGGCCUGGGGGAUAGAGGAACAAAUAAUGAGACCAAGUCAGGCCAUCCCCCAUGGGGUGAGGCCUGCAGGUAGGUGGGCCCAGUGUGGUGUACCUCUAGCACAGUGCCUGGCACAAAAUUGCAGUUUAUUUUCUGAAUAAAUAACUCUUGGAUCAAUUGGUUGCUCUCUGGGAAUGUGACUUUGCUGUUGAGUUGUGCAGAGUACUCUCUGUCUCCAAGCCAAUCCCAGCUUCAGUAUCUCACCCCACAAUCCACAUUUCCCAGUGUCUGGAGUAACAACAAUGACCUGGGGCUGGGCUCUCAGCAAGUCAAACCCUGCCUCAACAAACCCAAACUGCUUUGGGGACCAAUGUGAUGCAAAUGUGUACUGAAUCCCCUGAAUUCCCCCUGGUGAUCCUGUCCUGUAACAGGCCCUCCCCAUCCCCUCAGGCCAGUGCAUUCAGGAAAUCAGUGACCACAGGAUGGUUUCUCAGCUGGAGGGAAGGUCAGCCUGCAUCUGAGCAUCUUAGAACAUGUUAUUUUGUUCCCACUGGUCAAUCCCGUCCAAGCUGUACACAUAGUGCCUAAGCCACGUUUGUUACUGCAGGCCUGUCUUCGGAAAGGUCACUGAACAGAAGGAGGAGGCACCUUACUCUCUUUUGUUACGUCUUCACCACUUUUGUCUAAAGGGAAGUUUAGCUGGAGGGCUGAGCACGCAGACAGGUUUCUGACUGUGCCACAUAGAUCCCACAUUGCUUCUCUGCCAUGAUUUAUCAUCUGUGACUUGACAUGUUCUGCACACACGGGCAUGUUGUACACAUUGAGACAUGCUUCCUGCAUUCAAAGAUUUUCCCAUAUUGAGGGCAUUUUCCUGGUGCAGAAUUGAAGACUGAAUUGAGGCAUUCAGAUUGACCUCAACAUCUACGGGUCUGGAGGAGGUUUGGGACGUUUCCUUUUCUUCUCUUCAGGGGCCCACUCCUGUUGUAAAGAGCAGCAGCAUUUAUAAUGAGGGCCCAGGAAAUGCGGGGGAGAGGGGAGAGCCUGCUAUCUCUGCAGUGGGUGACUGUUGUUUCCCUGAUCAACAAUGUAUCAUAUCCCAGCCUAAGCCUGCCUUUCUCCUUCCCCCUCCACAUGGGGAGGGGCCGUGGGCUCAGAGCUCACCUGGAAUGCCUCUGGUUGCUGAAGGGCUGGAUGGAGACUCUGAGACAACCUGAUGGAUCAUCUCAUAAACAGAGCCUGCAGGAAGGAAAAGAAAAUUAUGCCAGCAUAAUGCACUUACGAGAAAUAGAUACGUGCGGUGCAGGGAGAAAUGCUUUGAUAUUAAAAUUUUUGUAACUUAAAAAGGCAUGAAAAAUGAUACCGACCACUAACUAAUCAACAUUCCUUUGCGAAUACAGCUUCAGUUCCUAACCAAAAACACAUCCCUGCUAUUGUCUUGUCUGGAUCCAGAUGCAAACAUGAUUAAUUAAGUUUCUGGUGAGGAGUGGGACGAGGGCAGUGGGAACUGAUGGCUUGCUGAGGAUCCUUUUCAUAUACAGGCCUGGGGAGAAUCCCUUAGUCUGGGUGCCUAUUUCCCUCCACAUGUCAGGGCUUACCCCGUGCACUGACAGCCACGGGGGCAGUGAGUAGGCUGCAGCCAGACCCAUGGAGUGAGGCAGUGAGAGGCUGAAAGGAGAGGCUCUACAGACAGUACAGGGAGGCUCUUGGUAUCUCCCAUUGCCACUGCACAGCACAGCACGGCAGAGUAGCAAACGCAUAUGCCAUGUCUUGUUGGGAGACCUGGGCCCUGCUCCAGACUGCUACCAAGUAGUUUGGGACCUUGGAUGAGCUGCCUCAAUUUCUCCAUUUGUGAAAUUGGGAGGUGACAGCGUGCUGGCAGCCCUCGCAGCCCUCGCUCUCGGCCUUGGUGCCUGCCUACUCUGGCCGCCCUUGAGGAGCCCUUCGGCCCACGGCUGCACUGUGGGAGCCCCUUUCUGGGCUGGCCAAGGCUGGAGCCAGCUCCCUCAGCUUGCCGGGAGGUGUGGAGGGAGAAGCGCGGGCAGGAACCAGGGCUGCUCAUGGGGCUUGCCGGCCAGCGCGAGUUCUGGGUGGGCAUGGGCUCAGUGCCUGCGCACUCUGAGCGGCCGGCAGGCCUGCGAACCCCGGGCAGUGAGGGGCUUAGCUCCUGGGCCAGCAGCUGCUGUGCUCAAUUUCUCGCCGGGCCUUAGCUGCCUCCCCGCGGGGCAGGGCUCGGGACCUGCAGCCCACCAUGCCUGAGCCUCCUCCCGCCGUGGGCUCCUGUGUGGCUGGAGCCUCCCCGAGGAGCACCGCCCCCUGCUCCACCGCUCCCAGUCCCUCAACCACCCAAGGGCUGAGGAGUGCGGGCGCAUGGCACGGGACUGGCAGGCAGCUCCACCUGCGGCACCGGUACCGGAUCCACUGGGUGAAGCCAGCUGGGCUCCUGAGUCUGGUGGGGACUUGGAGAACCUUGGUGUAGACACUCUGUAUCUAGCUAAUCUAGUGGGGAUGUGGAGAACUUUUGUGUCUAGCUAAGGGAUUGUAAAUACACCAGUCGGCACUCUGUAUCUAGCUCAAGGUUUGUAAACACACCAAUCAGCACCCUGUGUCUAGCUCAGGGUUUGUGAAUGCACCAAUGGACACUCUGUAUCUGGCUACUCUGAUGGGGACUAGGAGAACCUUUGUGUCUAGCUCAGGGAUUGUAAACGCACCAAUCAGCACCCUGUCAAAACGGACCAUUCAGCUCUCUGUAAAACAGACCAAUCGGCUCUCUGUAAAAUGGACCAAUCAGCAGGAUGUGGGUGGGGCCAGAUAAGAGAAUAAAAGCAGGCUGCCCCAGCCAGCAGGCACAACCCUCUCGCCUCACCUGCCGCAGUGUGGAAGUUUUGUUCUUUGGCUCUUUGCAAAAAAUGUUGCUGCUGUUCACUCAUUGGGUCUACACUACCUUUAUGAGCUGUAACACUCACUGGGAAGGUCUGCAGCUUCACUCCUGAAGCCAGCGAGACCACGAACCCACCGGGAGGAACAAACAAUUCCAGACGCGCCGCCUUAAGAGCUGUAGCAGUCACGGCCGGGCACGGUGGCUCACGCCUGUAAUCCCAGCACUUUGGGAGGCCGAGACGGGCGGAUCACGAGGUCAGGAGAUCGAGACCAUCCUGGCUAACACGGUGAAACCCCGUCUCUACUAAAAAUACAAAAAAAAUUAGCUGGGCAUGGUGGCGCACGCCUGUAGUCCCAGCUACACGGGAGGCUGAGGCAGGAGAAUGGCGUGAACCCGGGAGGCGGAGCUUGCAGUGAGUCGAGAUCGCGCCACUGCACUUCAGCCUGGGCGACAGAGCGAAACUCCGUCUCAAAAAAAAAAAAAAAAAAGAGCUGUAGCAGUCACAGCAAAGGUAUGCAGCUUCACUCCUGAGUCAGCGAGACCAGGAACCCACCACAAGGAAGAAACUCCGAACACAUCCGAACAUCAGAAGGAACAAAUUCUGGACACGCUGCCUUUAAGAACUGUAACACUCAGCGCGAGGGUCCCCUGCUUCAUUCUUGAAGUCAGUGAGACCAAGAACCCACCAAUUCCAGACACAAAAGGAGAGGUUGGAUUAAAUGUUCCUCAAAGUCUUCCAUUUCUGGCUUUUUAUUCCAGUGCCCAAAGUCCUUCACACAAAGCA
rnacentral:lncRNA from 1 species